GGAAGUAAAAGUCGUAACAAAGUUUCCGUAAGGUAACCUGCGGAAGGAUCAUUCACAGUAAGUGUUUUAGGGCACUUUUCAAACAAGCCAUCUCCACCUUGUGUGCAACGUUAUGGGACCCUCUAGCGGUCUCUUUUAGGUUACUGACGAGGGAAUCUGUACGACUUACGAACAUCACCUUUCACUUAUUUGUCUGAACAUUUGUUAUCACGAAUUAACUUAAUUAGAAAAUACAACUUUCAACAACGGAUCUCAUGGCUCUC
rnacentral:misc_RNA from 1 species